CAGUCCAGGGCAGGCCCCGCCCUCUGUUUCCGCUGGCGGAGGCUUUGGAGGUGGCGGCGCGAGAGCGCAAGCGAUCCGGACCCCACAUUCCUGGGAGCGCGGAAUAUUGUGGGAUCUUCUCUGAUCUGCCAGCAGCCAAGGUGUUCACUGGAAAUUCAAGGAAAACAGAAUUUAAGAAGUGCAACAUGGCCAGGGGCUGCCUCUGCUGCUUGAAGUACGUGAUGUUCCUCUUCAAUUUGAUAUUCUGGGUAAGUCCUUGCGUGUGUGUCUCUCCUUUGCCUCCUCUCUUCUUUCCUUAAGUGCGAUACCCUCUUUCUU
rnacentral:lncRNA from 1 species